rnacentral:rRNA from 1 species
GUGCCAGCAGCCGCGGUAAUACGUAGGUGGCGAGCGUUGUCCGGAAUUAUUGGGCGUAAAGAGCGUGUAGGUGGGAUAGUCAGUCUCAUUUAAAAGAUCGGGGCUCAACCCCGUUAAGGGUGAGAAACAGCUAUUCUUGAGUGCAGGAGAGGAAAGCGGAAUUCCCAGUGUAGCGGUGAAAUGCGUAGAUAUUGGGAGGAACACCAGUGGCGAAGGCGGCUUUCUGGACUGUGUCUGACACUGAGGCGCGAAAGCUAGGGGAGCGAACGGGAUUAGAUACCCCGGUAGUCC